ACAAUUGUUGCCUUGUUUUCAUCCUCUUUCAAAGGUGGUUUAUAGUCAGCUGCAGAACUCUGACAAGUACUCUUAAAUACAGAUAGAAAAAACAAACUUU